GUGGGGGAUAUAGCUCAGUUGGUAGAGUGCUUACCUCGAAUGUACAAGGCCUGGGGUUCAAUUACCAGCACCACA
rnacentral:tRNA from 1 species